rnacentral:rRNA from 1 species
GGUGAGUAACGCGUGAGCAACCUGCCUAUGACAGUGGGAUAGCCUCGGGAAACCGGGAUUAAUACCGCAUAAAAUCGUAGAAACACAUGUUUUAACGGUCAAAGAUUUAUCGGUCAUAGUUGGGCUCGCGUCUGAUUAGCUAGUUGGUGAGAUAACAGCCCACCAAGGCGACGAUCAGUAGCCGGUCUGAGAGGAUGAACGGCCACAUUGGAACUGAGACACGGUCCAA